rnacentral:lncRNA from 1 species
UUUCAAGCUAUAAUAUUAUCGUUCCCUUCAUUUUUUUCUCAUUCUUUCUAGUUCUGCAGUAACGAAGAUGUCCAUGCAAAUGAAUCGUAUGAUGAGAGCAAAUUACGAAGUGCCAAUACAAACGCCAUAUAAAAUCAGAGUUAUGCAAGGAAUUAUGACAACAUAUAAAUCAUCAUCAACAAAUUAUUAUUGCAAGUUGGCGAAGCCAUUAAGGAGUGGUAAAAACUUUUAUCAAGUUUUGUCUCUGAAAUCUAAUAAUGUGAGUGUUCAGGAGAUAAAGAAAGCAUAUAGGAGCAUGGUUCUUCAAUACCAUCCUGAUGUCUGUCUUCAUAAUUCUUCCAUAGAAUACUUUACAAAACGCUUCAUUGAGGUUCAAGAGGCUUAUGAGAUAUUAUCAGAUCCUGUGUCGAGAAGAAUGUAUGAUUUUGAGUUGGGAUUGAUUAAUUCCAUGCAUCAGUUUCAAAAGAUUCAUAGGGAGGAGAAAAUAUCAAAAUUUUCUAGAGAGAAUUGGGAAAAACAACUACUUGAAUUGAAACGACAAUCUUAUAUUCGAAUGAAAAAGAAAAAUAAUGUAUGAUACUUAAAGAGAAUAUGUUUAAUUCAUUUAUUUAUACAAUAUUCUUAUUUUUAUUAUGUUAUUAUUUUUAAAUAUUUGAGAAACAUUUCAUGUUUGAAUAUUGAAUAGAUUAAUAAUUAUUCGUACAUAUUUUUCUUUUCCCUUAUAAAGUAUGUUAUUUUCUUUUUAAUUUCGAUUUGUCACUGAAAAUAAUAUAAAUUGUUUGCGUUAUGUUUACAAGCAUAAGCUUGGUACAUAUGGUUAGAUUAUAAUGGAAAUCAUAUCAUUAUUUGGGUAGAGUUGGUCUAAAAAUCUAUAAGUAUUUUGAUGUUUGAAAUAAGUAUAUGAUGCACAAACUUUUAAGUUUGAUUGAUAUGAGAGUAACAUCCCUAACAAUCAUUUCAAGCAAAACACAAAUAUAGUUGUAGCUAAAGCUGCCCAAAUAUAAGUCGUUAGAAAUUGCCUCUUAUAAGAUUAGCAUCCCCUAAUGUACAUUAGUUGAUUAAUUAAUACUGAUUUGAAUAUUGUUAUUGGAAAAUAUUCUAUGAAUAUUUUACAAAUAUUCUAAUAUUCUAUGAAUAUUAUACAAAUAUUCUAAUAUUUUGUGAAUAUGUGUUAUUAUUAACUGUUUCAAUCGUAAAUGCAUGUAUUGUUUCCCUGUCAACUCAAUUUGUUUCCUGUAUAUAUGCAUAAAUUCUGUAUCAUAUCAAUACAAUAAAAUAUAUAUAUAUAUAUAUAUAUAUAGUGAUUCUUCAUGAAAACACUCCAGAAUUCAUGAAGUAUUAAAUGCACCUACACAUCCAUUACUUUUUAAGUGAUAAGUAGUCUAAUGCCAUGCAGGAACCCAGAGAGUUAAAUGAGCCUAAAGUCAUAGGGCCUCUGCAUGGCAAUUCCCAUUAAUUUAUUUAUUCGGCCUUCCAUCAUUUCCAUGGACUUUCAUAGCUAUUAAAGCCCAGUAUAUAUAUAUAAUACAAAAAAAAAAAAGAAAAAAGAAGAAAGAAAAUCACCCAACAACAUUGUAUGUUGUGUGUAUAUAUAUAUAUAUAUAUAUAUGUAUGUAUAUAUGUAUUAAAGUGGCAAAGAAUUCAAGUUGAGACAACCCUAGUUGGAAUUAAGGGUUAAUCAGGGCAACCCUAGUUGCAUCUAUAAAUCCUGAAUUUGAGCACUAAUUAAAUUUUAAAUUAUUAUUUGAUCCUCUCUAUUGCUUGUAUUUCGCAAGCUAGCAGCUUAACUUAUUCCAGGAGCAAUUCAAGAUUUUCAUUGUAUUCAUCGCCGUUUCAAUCAAGGAAGAUUUAAACAAUGAAUUAAUUCAUUUUUCAAUUACUAAAUGUACGGUGUAUAUAUACCAUAAAACACAAAGGAGUAACUAAUUAAUUAGAUAAAAAAGGAUUAAAAAACUAAUGAUUCUAUAAAAUAGUUCAAUUUGAACCUAUUCAUUUCUUCUGAUGCAUAUUCACCAAAAUUUCAAGUUACAGAAAAAGAUGUGCUUGAACUUAAGGUACAAAAUCAAAAAGAAAGGAAAGUUUGUGGUCGUUGGUCAUGGUGGUGGUAGUGACAGCGACAAGAACAGUCACGGGGAGGAAGAGAGCAAAGGAUUGUUGUUGAGAGAAAUUGACAAGUGGAAGAAGAAAGACAAGCCGUCUGAUGAUCAUCAUCCCAACAUAUCGAGUAAGUAAGAAGAUCAUGAUGCAUGACUAAUCACCAAUUACGAGUACAACUCCACUUCUGAUCAUCGCAUAAAUUCUCUUGCUAAUUUUGUCUUUAAUUAAUUAAUGAUGUCAGUACUUAUAUAUAUACAUACCUGUCUCUCUUCAUUUUUAUUUGAUAUUGAAUGGCUUUGAAAAAGUUCAAUUAGUUGAUAUUAUAUAAGCCUGAAACUGUGUGUGGCACUUUUUUAUUAAUAAUGUUAACGGCCUGAUUAAGUACUACAAGUCUUUAGUUUGAUUAAUUUAUACAAAUUAUUUG